GCACUACUGAAGAGUCUCAUAAUAGGACGAAACGGCAGUCCUGUGC
rfam:Schistosoma mattheei strain Denwood, Zambia genome assembly, scaffold: SMTD_scaffold0009928